CAGCGCACCACGCGAAGAGAAAAGCGACGCGUGGGGUGGAUAGCGCGGUGCGCGGUGAAAACCCUAGCCCAAUCCCUCGCUUCUUCCAGCCCCCAAUCCCUCUGCUCAUCGAGCCCCUCGUCCCCUCGUCCAGGCACUCCACCACCCACACCAUGCCACCUCCUCCCCUUCGUGUUUCUCCUCCUCCCAUUUAGGCUCCAUGGUGGCGGCCGGCUCGAGGCAGGGGAGCAGCUGAUGCGGCAUCGGCGGCGGCACGAGAGGAGCGGCGGUGGAGGCGAGCUACGAAGAGGUGCCGCUCGGGCGCGAGACGGCAGAGGCGGGUGCGGCUGCUCUGGUCCCCGAUCUGGGGAGGGUACGAGGCGAAGAAGGGCGCCGCCAUCGUUGUCGCCGUUGCAGACAGUUAGCUAUAUGGCGGAGCGCGUUCUGGGCACUUCAUUUGGCAUCGUCUUUCAGGCUAAAUGCUUGGAAACUAGGGAGACAGUGGCCAUUAAGAAGGUACUGCAGGACCGACCAUACAAGAACCGGGAGCUGUAGCUUAUGCGUUUGAUUAACCAUUUCAAGGUUGUUCUCCCUCAAGUACUGCUUCUUCUCAACCACAAGUAGAGAUGAGCUGUUUCUGAACCUUGUCAUGGAGUAUGUCCUGGAGACAAUCUAUCGCAUGCUUAAGAACUACAGUACUGCCAAAUAGGGGAUGUCACUUAUCUACGUCAAGAUUUACACCUAUCAGGUUUGUGAAUUGCCAGUGAAUAAAUGUGAAAUGUGUGCCUGCCAUUGUGCAACUAUUCUAGAACAUUGGUGGCGGCUAUUCAGGGGGCUCACACACAUUCAUACUGUUUCUGGAGUCGGUCACAAGGAUGUGAAGCCACAAAAUGUUUUGGUAUGUAUUAGUGAAUACUUUCUGUGUGCAUCACUUAUGAAGAGGCCAGGGUCAUCCCCUUUCUGAAGAAAAUGUAUCAGUGAACACUGAACAUAUUUACUCGAUUAUCAUGUAUGGCUUUUCAUGCUUGCUUUUGAACUUGUCUUCACUUGCUUCCUUAUACAGUUGGGCAGGGCCUUUGGAUGGGAAUCAUCUUCAGUAUUCUUGUUCAGGUCUUGCUGUUCGUAGCCAUCACACUGCGCACCAUCAGGCAAAAUAAGGCAACAAAGGCGUACAAGUAUAUCGCAAGGUCAAUGCUAUAUGUGUAUGUAUGUAUGUAUGGAUAUGUGCUACUGAAGUGAGAUUCCGAGAAAAUCCGCAUACAAGUAUAUCGCAAGGUCAAUGCUAUAUAUUCUUAGAUGAAAAUUACACUAGGUUGGCUUUUAAUAUACUUGGAGCAUCGAUACUUCCGGACCAGUGAACCGCCGGACCAAUGCUGGUGUUCAUGGAGUUAGUUAGCAACUUUUUUCUGGUCAGCAAACUCCAACUUUAUUAACCCACUACAGGAGAGCAGAGAUCUAAGAAAGAACAGAAGAAGAAGAAUCCUGCGGAAGAUUUUGGUGAAGAACAAGGAAGUAGCUCCCUUCCCUUCUACACUUGUUGUGAUGCCUCUCGAUGAGGUAUUCCUGCUGCUGGUUUCCUCUUUCAAAUUCUCUUUCAGUCUUUUAAUUCCUUUGCUGUUUCUUUGGCAGAUGAACACUCCUAUAUCUGCAUUCAAAGGAAAAGGACAGGCUAUUGUGCCUAAAACUCCUAGCAAAUCACCGUGCCCAAAAAGUACUCGCCGCAAACUCUGUCUUGGACCCUCUAAAUCUAAGGACACUGAACUUUCUACCUCUACUACCAAGGUGGCUAGCCAAACUGAAGAGGUUACCGCUGCCGGAAAUGUUGUUCAGCCUGCACCCAUGCCAGAUGUUGGACAGGAAACUGAAGGUGCAGUUGCUGAGGAUCCAAAGAACACCCUUCCUGACCCCUCUAAGCCCAAGAGAACAAACAAUACCGGCAAGGGGGCUGGCAUACCUAAGAAAGCGAAGCAGUAGUUCUUCCAUGGCGUAAUCUAUAUAUGUACAUACGGUACGACUAACACAUCUUCGAUUUAACCAUGCCCCUUCUCCGAUUUGGGUUGGAGUACUCUAAGCAAGAAAUGUAUAGACUUUAGUCCUUCCUUGCUGCCUCUAUGGUGAAAAGUAGUCUAUGAUGUAGUCUAUGAUCUUCCUAUUUUGUUGUUGUCUCUAUGGUCAAAAGCGGUUUAUCAUCGCUUAUUGUACAUAUGUGAAGGACUCCUCUUCUACUUUUGUUUCCAGAACACUGUGACUCAAGAAACAACCUUUCCUUUUAUGCAUGCUUUCA